AUUACAACAUAGCAAGGUAUCGUGCACAAAAAGCACUUGAAACUUCACAUGUUGAGGACUCGGAUGAAAAUAGUGCACGAAAAAUUUUACCACCAAGAAGAUUUAGAGAAGAAGAACCUCGGCUCAGCAAAUCUAAAAAAACACAGCAGACAAAACGAUUUCUUGAGGACAGUGAAUCAUCCCAAGAUGAGAUUUCCAGUCUGAGAGCAAAGAAAGUAAACAAACGGC